GGGGAUGUAGCUCAGUGGUAAAGCACUUAUCUGGUGCGUAUGAGGCCCUGGGUUCAAUUCCCAGCACCCCCA
rfam:Ictidomys tridecemlineatus contig112146, whole genome shotgun sequence.